UGCCAACCAGGUGUCUGCACUAAGUUCGGCAUCAAUAUGGUGAUCUCCUGGGAGCAGGGGGCCACCAGGUUGCCUAAGGAUGAGUGAACUGGCCCAGAUCAGAAAGGGAGAAGGUCAGAACUUCUGCACUGACCAGUAGUGGGACUGUGCCUGGGCA
rnacentral:sRNA from 1 species